rnacentral:tRNA from 1 species
ACCUAUGUAGUAUAAAAUAAUACAUUGAUAUUAAAAAUCAAUAAUAAGAACUUUUCUUCAGAGGUA